rnacentral:tRNA from 1 species
GCAGACGUAGUUUAAAUAAAGUGUCGGAUUGUGAUUCCGAAGAUAGGGGUUAAACCCCCCUCGUCCGCC